AAUGCAAGGCAAUAUAAUUAACCACGGAAGACCUGGGGCUCUGGGUGAAUGAAUGCCAUGAGCUCUAAUCUCAAUUUUAACAAAAGCCUGACCUUUCUUGGGUGAGUUGGACAGAGCAGAAACACCGGGAACCUCAGCUUUCUCCUCACUGACCUGUGAAAAGCUGCAUCUAUUUCACAGCAAAAGAACGAACAGAGGGUAAACAAAUUCCCGGACGGAAGGUGAGGCUUGUAUUUUCACACUGAAGAAGCAGUUAGUGCAUGUCAUUCGGGGCUGACUCCCUCGCCCCAGGCCUCCCACUCACAGCUCUCCUCUCCGAUACAAGUCUCAGGGCUCAGUGAGGUGAGCCCCAAUGGUUAGCCCCUCCCCUGAGGUCACCUGCACAGCCUGGGCAGACAUUCUGCAAGACUCCCUGACAAAUAAAAGCCAGAGAAGUUCUGAGGCUAAAAACAAA